GAUGAACGCUGGCGGCGUGCCUAAUACAUGCAAGUCGAGCGAACAGACGAGGAGCUUGCUCCUCUGACGUUAGCGGCGGACGGGUGAGUAACACGUGGAUAACCUACCUAUAAGACUGGGAUAACUUCGGGAAACCGGAGCUAAUACCGGAUAAUAUAUUGAACCGCAUGGUUCAAUAGUGAAAGACGGUUUUGCUGUCACUUAUAGAUGGAUCCGCGCCGCAUUAGCUAGUUGGUAAGGUAACGGCUUACCAAGGCAACGAUGCGUAGCCGACCUGAGAGAGUGAUCGGCCACACUGGAACUGAAACACGGUCCAGACUCCUACGGGAGGCAGCAGUAGGGAAUAUUCCGCAAUGGGCGAAAGCAUGACGGAGCAACGCGGCGUGAGUGAUGAAGGUCUUCGGAUCGUAAAACUCUGUUAUUAGGGAAGAACAAAUGUGUAAGUAACUAUGCACGUCUUGACGGUACCUAAUCAGAAAGCCACGGCUAACUACGUG
rnacentral:rRNA from 1 species